GUGGGCAAUUAUUAAAUUUAUUAACCUAUUUUCUAAAUUCCAAGGUGUAUUGCCACUUUCAAGCUAUUUAGGCGGGGUCAAACCCGUC
rnacentral:ncRNA from 1 species